rnacentral:tRNA from 5 species
GGAGAGGUGGCUGAGAGGUCGAAAGCACCGCACUCGAAAUGCGGCAUACGGGCAACCGUAUCGUGGGUUCGAAUCCCACCCUCUCCGCCA